GCCACCACCAGGAGCCCCAAACUAUCAGCCAUGGUCAACCCCACCAUGUUCUUCCACAUUGCCGUCAAUGGCGAGCCCUUGGGCCAUGCCUCCUUGGAGCUGUUUGCAGACAUGUUUUCAAAGUCAGCCAAAAACCUUCAUGCUCUGAGCACUAGAGAGAAAGAAUGUGGUUAUAAGGUUUCCUGCUUUCACAAAAUUAUUCCAGGAUGUAUGUGUCAGGGUGGUGACUUCACAUGCCAUAAUGGCACUGAUGGCAAGUCCGUCUACAGGGAAAAAUUUGAUGAUGACAACUUCAUCCUGAAGCAUACAGGUCCUGGCAUUUUGCCAUGGCAAUUGCUGGACCCAACACAAACCAUUCCCAGUUUUUCAUCUGCACUGCCAAGACUGAGUGGUUGGAUGGCAAGCAUGUGGUCUUUGGCAAGGUGAAAGAAAGCAUGAGCAUUGUAGAGGCCAUGGAGCACUUUGGGUCCAGGAAUGGCAAGACCAACAAGAAGAUCACCAUUGCUGACUAUGAACAACU
rnacentral:lncRNA from 1 species